GAUGAACGCUGGCGGCGUGCCUAAUACAUGCCAGUCGAGCGAACGGACGAGAAGCUUGCUUUUCUGAUGUUAGCGGCGGACGGGUGAGUAACACGUGGAUAACCUACCUAUAAGACUGGGAUAACUUCGGGAAACCGGAGCUAAUACCGGAUAAUAUUUUGAACCGCAUGGUUCAUAAGUGAAAGACGGUCUUGCUGUCACUUAUAGAUGGAUCCGCGCUGCAUUAGCUAGUUGGUAAGGUAACGGCUUACCAAGGCAACGAUGCAUAGCCGACCUGAGAGGGUGAUCGGCCACACUGGAACUGAGACACGGUCCAGACUCCUACGGGAGGCAGCAGUAGGGAAUCUUCCGCAAUGGGCGAAAGCCUGACGGAGCAACGCCGCGUGAGUGAUGAAGGUCUUCGGAUCGCAAAACUCUGUUAUUAGGGAAGAACAUAUGUGUAAGUAACUGUGCACAUCUUGACGGUACCUAAUCAGAAAGCCACGGCUAACUACGUG
rnacentral:rRNA from 1 species